rnacentral:rRNA from 1 species
UACGUAGGAGGCAAGCGUUGUCCGGAAUUACUGGGUGUAAAGCGCGUGUAGGCGGCAGGCCAAGUCUGUGGUGAAAUCGCUCGGCUCAACUGGGCGGGGUCCAUGGAAACUGGUCAGCUGGAGGACGGUAGAGGUGAGUGGAAUUCCCGGUGUAGUGGUGAAAUUCGUAGAUAUUGGGAAGAACACCAGUGGCGAAGGCGGCUCACUGGCCCGUAACUGACGCUGAGGUGCGAAAGCGUGGGGAGCAAACAGG